AGAACGAACGUUAGCGGCGCGCUUAACACAUGCAAGUCGAACGAGGUAGCAAUACCUAGUGGCAGACGGGUGAGUAGCGCGUGGUCAACCUACCGUUGAGUGGGGGAUAACUAGCCGAAAGGUUAGCUAAAUACCGCAUACGUCUCCGAGGGGCAUCCCUUGGUGAUAAAAGGAGCAAUCCGCUCGAUGACGGGACCGCGUCCCAUUAGCUAGUUGGUGGGGUAACGGCCUACCAAGGCAUCGAUGGGUAGCUGGUUUGAGAGAGCGACCAGCCACACUGGGACUGAGAUACGGCCCAGACUCCUACGGGAGGCAGCAGUGAGGAAUUUUCCGCAAUGGGCGAAAGCCUGACGGAGCGACGCCGCGUGUGGGAAGAAGGCCUUCGGGUCGUAAACCACUGUCGGAAGGGGAAGAUAAUGACGGUACCUUGGAGGAAGCCCGGCUAACUACGUGCCAGCAGCCGC
rnacentral:rRNA from 1 species